CUUCAAAUGAACAAGGUAGAUUCUAAUGACAAUCAUCAUAACCAAAUAAUAAUAAAAAGAUUCCUUUGCCACACGUUUCAACCAAAAGCAUACAUUAUUUUGGUAACUGUCUGUACAACAACACCAACACAGUAUCACUGACCAAUCAUUAAAAGCUAGUAAAAUAUCUUUCAAAAACCUUUGAUCAGAAGACAUUUGUUUAAAAUUCAUCUUAUAUCAUUCUUGUUUCUCAUGGUAAAGAACACCUUGUUUCCUAGCAAAACCAUGUUUGUUUGAGAUCAAAAUUGGAACUUAGGACCCUGGGUAGUAUUUUAUCACAUUUUUUUCAAUAUAGUACCUUGGUACUGUAGCUCACCUUUGUGGGAUGAUAUAAUGAGAGAAGACCCAGCUGGAGGAUGCAAGAUGCUGCUUCAAAAGAAUCAAAAUAACUGAAUCAAACCAAUUUACAAUUUCAAAAACAACAAUAAUAAAGUUGUAGCCAUUAGAAACUGAUUCUUUACAAAGUACUACAACAGUACACAGAGAUUUUUUCUG